UUUUCAUUAAGAAUGUUUGAAGAUCCUCUAUUCCAUUAAAGAUCCAUUUUCCUCCCCUCUAAGAAUAUAUUCAUCCUCGUAAGGUGGCAGCCUUUGCAGUGGCCCCCAAGAUCAACUCCGAGGCUCAAUUCUUUCCUUCCAAGAAAUGAGACCAAUAGACUUGACAAAAUCAGAUGAAAGUCAAGGUUCCUAUAAGAUACCACAGUGGAAAAACAAAUGUUGGAUUUGUAGUCAAAGGACCUGGGUUCGUGUCCCUGCCUCUGCUCUAUAUUUGUUGUGCAAUUUUGGGUUAUACAAAUGCAUUUCUCUUCAUUAAAAGCACACCAUCCUAUACAAAGGAAAUGUAGAUACUCAGAUGGCCUUGGAAGAAAUCAAUCUGAUUACCCAGAAAGCUGAUUCUGAAAAUGAUUUCAUGCAUAGUUGUUCUAUAAUAAAAAUGAAUAAUGGAAAUGGGACCUUUUUGGUA